rnacentral:rRNA from 1 species
CCUUCGGGUGGCUGCAGUGAGGAAUAUUGGUCAAUGGGCGCGCGUCUGAACCAGCCAAGUAGCGUGCAGGAUGACUGCCCUACGGGUUGUAAACUUCUUUUAUAAAGGAAUAAAGUGAGGAACGUGUGCCUUUUUGUAUGUAUCUUAUGAAUAAGGAUCGGCUAACUCCGUGCCAGCAGCCGCGGUAAUACGGAGGAUCCGAGCGUUAUCCGGAUUUAUUGGGUUUAAAGGGUGCGUAGGUGGGUUGUUAAGUCAGUUGUGAAAGUUUGCGGCUCAACCGUGAAAUUGCAAUUGAUACUGGCAGGCUAGAGUGCAGUUGAGGUAGGCGGAAUGCGUGGUGGAGCGGUGAAAUGCUUAGAUAUCACGAAGAACUCCGAUUGCGAAGGCAGCUUACUAAGCUGCCACUGACAUUGAUGCUCGAAAGUGUGGGUAUCAAACAGGAUUAGAUACCCGGGUAGUC